rnacentral:lncRNA from 1 species
AUUUUACUUUUCAUCAUUUUUCUCUAUAGAAAAUACUAGAUAAGACAAUCUAGAGCUUGGAUCGAUGCAACAGGAGGUUAACCCAAGGAAUCAUUGCCCUUUUGGUGGGAAAAAAUGCAGAGUUUUGGUAGAUUUUGCUAAAACUUCAUAGAAUGUGCGGUCAAAAAGUAGUGUAUCCCAUAGAAUAUAUGAUUUAAUUAUUGACUUUAAUUGUGUUGGGUGCUCCCUCUCACAUGAGGGAACUCGUAAAUUUUAGUGGUAAGUCGGGACCACUUUACACUAAGUACCAAACCAAUUUUCAAAGCAAGAAAUCAAAGAUAAAUGAUAUAGAUACAUAGAGAAAAAUAGAGAAGAGAACGAGAGAAUUACACAAAAGGACUUUAGCUCUUUUUGCCAAUGAUCGAGGCUCAUUCGUGGUCUGAUUAAAUUAAAAUUUCAAUAUGUUAGUCCUAACAAAGAGAGCUACGUUUUGAAUGGAGCUGAUCGUCCAGACUCCUCUUCAAUUCUCUAGUCAGUAUACACUUAUUUAGUGAUAUUUUCUUUUUCUUACCUCAUGUAUACAUUUUGGAAUGAUGUUGCUGUUGAUAUCCAAGAACUAUAUGUGUUUUUGAUGUAUUGGUAGCCUUUGGAGUUUGUUUUGGAGAAGAUUGAUUGCGUAUGCCAUUAUUUUUCAUGGUGGAAGGCUUUGACUGGACUAGGUCCUCAAGUUUUUCCCUUCACACUGAAGGGGUUCCUCGUAAACAAAUUUUCGUGUUCUAUUAUUUAUCUUUGCAUUGUGUGUGAGUUAUUAAAGCCGGUUGUUAUUAUUACCAUUCCAAAUUUUGUAGAAUAGAGAGAUUGUAAUUUACUUCGCUACUUGUUUUUCUGGUACAAUACUAACAAAGUGGUAUCAGGGCAUAUUGAAGUGAGGUAUCAUUAGAUUCGAGAUGUUCUGGAGGUGAAGAAGUUACAACUUGAGAAAAUCCAUACGGAUAAGAAUGGUUCAGAUAUGAUGACAAAGCCAUUACCUAUGGAGAAUCUACAUAUAUGUAGAAGGAAUGUGGGCUUGGUGGAGUCCCUCACAUAGUCGGGAGAGGGAGAUUUGUUGGGUCUUCCUCUCACGUGAGAGAACUUGCUAAUUUUAAUGGUAAGAGAGGACCAAUUUCCACCAAGUACCAAACCAAUUUUAAAAGCAAAAAAUCAAAGAUAAAUGACAUAGAUACAGAGAAUGAAAACAGAAAAGAGAACAAGAGAAAGAGAUAAAAGGAUUUCAGCUCUUUUUGCCAAUGAUCGAGGCUUAUUCAUGGUUUAAUUAAAUUGAAAUUUUAGUAUGUUAGUCCUAGUGAAGAGAGCUACGUUUUGUUUGAAACUGAUCGUCCAGUUUCCUCUUCAAUUCUCUAAACAGCAUACACUUAUUUAAUUAGAUUUUCUCUUUCUUAUCUCCUGCAUACUUUUUGGAAUGAUGUUGUUGAUAUUUAUCUUAGCAGGGUGUAUGAGUUAUUAAAGCUGGUUAUUAUGAUUACCAUUCUAAAUUCUAUAGAAUAGAGAUAUUGUAAUAUAAUUCGCUGCUUGUCUAUCUGGUACAAUACCAACAAAUUGAAAUUAAAAUCUAGACGAUAUAUGGGCACGUGUGAUCUCCUUGAUGGAGCAGCAACCACUCGAAGACAUGGCAACAAGCACUUUGCUUAUAUCUUCCAAUCUGUCAUCAUUUUUGCCACAAAUUUCUGAUAGUUUAGGGAAUAUAUUUUCUGCAAUUCUUGUAUAUUCAAUAACCAGAAAUUUAGAGAUACAUAUAACAGCCGGAUGACCUCUAUAUUUGGUUACUUCCAACUAAUUAAGAUAGACAGCUAUAAUUACAACUUUAAUUAGAAGAUUAUUGCCACAAAUUACUCUAAUUUUACAACUCAUGCCAACAAUUUCAGUCUUUAGAUAACGACUAAAGUUUGAAUAUGAUGUGAUUUUAACACGGAUUUGUACUGUUCCAACUCUUACUGUUUGUUUGAGCUCCAUUAUAAUGUCAAGAAUACAUUUUAAAAUAGUAGAUUAAUGAAGAAUUCGUG